rnacentral:rRNA from 1 species
AUUGAACGCUGGCGGCAUGCCUUACACAUGCAAGUCGAACGGCAGCACGGGAGCAAUCCUGGUGGCGAGUGGCGAACGGGUGAGUAAUAUAUCGGAACGUGCCCAGUCGUGGGGGAUAACGUAGCGAAAGCUACGCUAAUACCGCAUACGAUCUAUGGAUGAAAGCGGGGGAUCGCAAGACCUCGCGCGAUUGGAGCGGCCGAUAUCAGAUUAGGUAGUUGGUGGGGUAAAGGCUCACCAAGCCGACGAUCUGUAGCUGGUCUGAGAGGACGACCAGCCACACUGGGACUGAGACACGGCCCAGACUCCUACGGGAGGCAGCAGUGGGGAAUUUUGGACAAUGGGCGCAAGCCUGAUCCAGCAAUGCCGCGUGCAGGAUGAAGGCCUUCGGGUUGUAAACUGCUUUUGUACGGAACGAAACGGCGAGCUCUAAUACAGUUUGCUAAUGACGGUACCGUAAGAAUAAGCACCGGCUAACUACGUGCCAGCCGCCGCUGUAA